rnacentral:lncRNA from 1 species
AGCAAUAGAUCGGGAAUUUGAAAAGAUUGUCUUAAUUUCAAAACAAAUUGUAUUUUGUUAUUUUGGGCAUAAGCCCACUUAUUUGUUAUACUUGUUAGUUCUUAGGACAGGUGAAAGAAUUGGGCCUAAGGCCCAAAUAUCAGGUGCAAGUGAUUCGAAUGGGCCUUCCACCCAAAACAAGAUUAGGCCCAAGUACUGGCCCAGGCGAA